UUCCCCAUUCCCUCCCACCUGUCCAGCGCCGACUCCAUCACCAUGGACUGACUCCCUCGCAGUCGAGAUCCGCCCCGUCGACGUCUAGCAGCCCAGCUCGACCUCCAGCCACUCCAGCUCCCUGGUGCGCCAAAAAGGUGGCAGCUCGUAGCCUCGUACAUUGCUUUCAGUAUGGGUGUAGAAUCUCUAGCAGAUAGUUCACUAGUAUAACAACAAUGGUCAUUGUUUAGUAUUUGGCACUUCUGUUUAGGUUAAAACAAUGUUAUUUUUUUGUUCUUUUGCAAAGAUUAGAGUGCAGCAGCCCUAUAGAUUGUGAUUAAUUACUAUAUGAUUCAGUUCUAAAUAUUUUGUUUUAUGAUCCCAGUGCAAAGGAAUUCAUAUUUUAGUUUACAUCUGUCUAUGUAGUGUGUUGUGAAGGCCAAGUUUGAGAAGUGGUGGUGUCGCAGAGCAAUCCUCUCCCUUGACAGGUACAAUGUCCACUCUUCCACAUGUCUUAGUUUUUUUAAUGCAAUUGCUUCAUUGCCAUAUUACAUCAUUAACUGUUAUAUAUUCCAAAUCGUGCAAAACUUCAAUAGGGCAAACCUUAUGUGAUGAUACAGGUUGUUAGUUGCUACUAGAAAGUGUUGAGAGAUAUUAAAGCGGUGUAACAAUUGCUGUCGGGUUUAGCAACUGAUAUCUUCUUCAUCUCCUUUUGCACUGCUUACAUGUAAGGUAUUGUAGUUUAGGUGCUUCUUUCACCAGCUGCAAAACAAUGUAGCUGGUGCUUGAUGCAUGUGUUAAUGCAUGCAUAAUGCUAGUAAGCUCCUGUUAUGGGUCUCAAGCAUGAAUGUACCCCAAGAUUUCUAUUGGAACUGGACAUGUGUUAAUGCAAUUAGGUGCUUCUUUCACCAGCUGCAAAACAAUGCAAUUUCAUAAGUUUUCACCAGCUGCAAAACAUCAUAAAAAUACCAUUAGGUACUUCCGUAAACACAAAAAUAGAAACAAUGCAAGACAUGGCUUGUCUCUGAUCCUCUGUUUUCUUUUUUCAUUGGUUGCAUUUUGAUCCUAAAUGUCAAUCAAU